rnacentral:rRNA from 1 species
CCUACGGGCGGCAGCAGUGAGGAAUAGUGGUCAAUGGGCGCGAGCCUGAACCAGCCAAGUAGCGUGAAGGAUAACUGCCCUACGGGUUGUAAACUUCGUGUAUAAAGGAAGAAAGUGAGGCACGUGUGCCUUUUUGUAUGUACGUUAUGAAUAAGGAUAGGCUAACUGCGUGCCAGCAGACGCGGUAAUACGGAGGUUCCGAGCGUUAUCCGGAUUUAUUGGGUUUAAAGGGAGCGUAGAGGGGUUGUUAAGUCAGUUGUGAAAGUUUGCGGCUCAACCGUAAAAUUGCCAUUGAUACUGGCAGUCUUGCGUACAGUUGCGGUAGGCGGCAUUCGUGGUGUAGCGGUGA